rnacentral:rRNA from 1 species
AGUGAACGCUGGCGGCGUGCCUAAUACAUGCAAGUCGAACGGAGUGGCGCACGGGUGAGUAAUGUAUAGCUAAUCUGCCCUACACUAGAUGACAACAGUUGGUAAACACUGCUAAUACUCUAUAGUGUAGGAUGAGGCUCUAUUGUAUCAGCUAGUUGGUGAGGUACUGGCUCACCAAGGCUAUGACGCAUAACUGGUCUGAGAGGAUGAUCAGUAGAACGGGAACGGAGACACGGUGAAGACGCCUACGGGAGGCAGCAGUAGGGAAUAAUGCUCAAUGGGGGAAACCCUGAAGCAGCAACGCAGCGUGGAGGAUGACACUUUUCGGAGCGUAAACUCCUUUUGUUAGGGAAGCGGUACCUAACGAAUAAGCACCGGCUAACUCCGUGCCAGCCGCCGCGGUAAUAC